UAAUUUUUCAUGACUGACCAUACUCCACCAGGAGAGAAGUACUCGAACUACUAUCCCUACAAUCACGGAUCGGGAGUCGCCCACCACGGCCGACGCUGCCGCGCCCAACCUCCACCGCGGCCGACUGCCUCCACGCGAAUUCCCUUGCGAGGCUCUCUGGCGACCACACCGCCUACUCCAGAGGCGAGGAGCUUGCCGGCGUCCAGCUCCUCAAGGAGAAGCGCGCUCCACCGCCGACGCUGCCGCGCCCAAAUCCCACCGCGGCCGACCGCCUCCGCUCUCUCGAUGGGGAUCCGCUGCGGCAGUGCCAGGACGUUCACCAUCGCCACCGCAGUCUGUUCACCGCGGACGCCACAUGCCUGCACCCCACGGCCGGCCACCGCGCGUCUGGAGCGCGCUCUUCCGCCUAUUCCCAGUGUGUCGCCGCCGGCCCCGAGCGCGCCGCUGAUGGCCUUCGGUGCUAUCGCAGGCACCAAGACCGUCGCUGUGCUGGUAAGUCCUCUCCCCCAGCUGGCGUAGCGCCCGGUUCUACUAUCUCUCUUCCAUGUCGUUGCAACACGGUCUCUCCUCUGUCGUUGCUGCUGCCGCCACCGUGUUUCUCCUUCCUGCUUCUGCCACUGUCGCUGGAGCUAGCCAAAAUGGAUCAAACAUAGGUGCAUAUUUCGUGAGAAAAUCCCGACGUCCAGCUCUUCAAGGAGAGGAGCCUGCCACCGCCGACGCUGGCAUUGCCAUGGGUGCCCAUCCUUGCUGUCCGAUGGAACCGCUCAGACGGUCAUACCGCGGUCGUCGUCAGAAUCAUCCGAGUUGAUUUAACCAAUUUUUGAAUCCUCGCUGAAUAAGCAGGAAGUUGUAUUUGGAAGCUUUCUUGGACUUAUAUCGUAAUCAUGGUAUAUGGCUUGAUUGUCUCAUGUGGUGCUUGCAUGGUAUGUGUGUGAUGAUUUUCCUGAAAGGCAGAAGUUUUAUCAUGCUAUGUUCUUUCAACUUAUGUGUAACAUUUUGGUUUUCUUAUGGACUCAAAUCUGAUAUACUAGACCCAAACCUUUAUCCUUCUUCCA